CGUGUAGGCGGAUCCAGAAGUCGGGUGUGAAAGCCCUGGGCUUAACCCAGGAAGUGCGCCCGAAACCAUGGGUCUUGAGGUCCGGAGGGGAUCGGGGAAUUCCCAGUGUAGAGGUGAAAUUCGUAGAUAUUGGGAGGAACACCGGUGGCGAAGGCGCCGAUCUGGACGGAUUCUGACGCUGAGACGCGAAAGCGUGGGUAGCAAACA
rnacentral:rRNA from 1 species